rnacentral:rRNA from 1 species
UACAGAGGUCUCAAGCGUUGUUCGGAUUCAUUGGGCGUAAAGGGUGCGUAGGUGGCGAGGCAAGUCUGGUGUGAAAUCCCGGGGCUCAACCCCGGAACUGCACUGGAUACUGCCUUGCUUGAGCACUGGAGAGGGAACUGGAAUUUACGGUGUAGCAGUGAAAUGCGUAGAUAUGCGGAGGAACACCGAUGGCGAAGGCAAUCCCCUGGGCCUGCACUGACGCUCAUGCACGAAAGCGUGGGGAGCAAACAGG